UGUUUCCUCGGCGAGCUUGCUCGCCAAUGGGGACCAACCUAAACACUUUUGUAGUUGUAGUUGUACUGUCAGUAAACAAACCUUUAAAACUUUCAACAACGGAUCUCUUGGUUCUGGCAUCGAUGAAGAACGCAGCGAAAUGCGAUAAGUAGUGUGAAUUGCAGAAUUCAGUGAAUCAUCGAAUCUUUGAACGCACAUUGCGCCCUUUGGUAUUCCUUAGGGCAUGCCUGUUCGAGCGUCAUUUAAACCCUCAAGCUCUGCUUGGUGUUGGGCGCCUGUCCCGCCUCUGGCGUGGACUCGCCUCGAAGAUAUUGGCGGUUGUUGCAUUGACCGGAUGCGCAGUAAAAACGCGCUGGUACUGGCUUGAUGCCUUCCUCCAGGAAGCUAAACCUCUCAUCUUGACCUCGGAUCAGGU
rnacentral:rRNA from 1 species